rnacentral:rRNA from 1 species
AGCAGUCGCCGCGGUAAUACGGAGGGUGCAAGCGUUAUCCGGAUUUAUUGGGUUUAAAGGGUCCGUAGGCGGAUCUGUAAGUCAGUGGUGAAAUCUCACAGCUUAACUGUGAAACUGCCAUUGAUACUGCAGGUCUUGAGUAAAUUUGAAGUGGCUGGAAUAAGUAGUGUAGCGGUGAAAUGCAUAGAUAUUACUUAGAACACCAAUUGCGAAGGCAGGUCACUAAGAUUUAACUGACGCUGAUGGACGAAAGCGUGGGGAGCGAACAGGAUUAGAUACCCGUGUAGUCCCUGUCUCUUAUAC